rnacentral:rRNA from 1 species
AGCAGCCGCGGUAAUUCCAGCUCCAAUAGCGUAUAUUAAAGUUGUUGCAGUUAAAAAGCUCGUAGUUGAAUUUUGGGAUCAGUACGCUGGUCGUGCCUUGGUAUGUACUGGUGUUACUGGUUCCUACCUUCUGACGAACCGUCAUGUCAUUAAUUUGGUGUGGCGGGAAAUCAGGACUGUUACUUUGAAAAAAAUUAGAGUGUUUAAAGCAGGCUCGCGCUUGAAUACAUUAGCAUGGAAUAAUGAAAUAGGACGUUCGAUCCUAUUUUGUUGGUUUCUAGGAUUGACGUAAUGAUUAAUAGGGAUAGUUGGGGGCAUUAGUAUUCAAUUGUCAGAGGUGAAAUUCUUGGAUUUAUUGAAGACUAACUACUGCGAAAGCAUUUGCCAAGGAUGUUUUCAUUAAUCAAGAACGAAAGUUAGGGGAUCGAAGACGAUCAGAUACCGUCGUAGUCUUAACCAUAAACUAUGCCGACUAGGGAUCGGAUGAUGUUAAUUUUUAAUGACUCAUUCGGCGCCUUAA